CAAAAAGAGAUUGUGAUCAAGAGGAAUGUUUAGUACAGCUGUGGUUAUUAUUAACUAUUGUAAACACUAAAAUUGGUUCUUGAAAGAGUUUUGGUGUGCAUAGUUUCAAAGUUUCUUAAGUAGUACUUGGUUACUGCAGAAAAUGAAAAUGAACAGAGACACAGAACUGAAGGGUCUUGCUAUGCCAUCUAGGCUGGAGUACAAUGGUGUGAUCAUGGCUCAUUACAGCCUCAACCUCCCAGACUCAAGCGAUCCUCCUGCCUCAGCCUCCCAAGUAGCUGGGACCACAAGCAAAUGCAGCCACACCUGGCUGAUUUUUGUAUUUUUUUUUUAUUAUUAUUACACUUUAAGUUUUAGGGUACAUGUGCACAAUGUGCAGGUUUGUUACAUAUGUAUACAUGUGCCAUGUUGGUGUGCUGCACCCAUUAACUUGUCAUUUAGCAUUAGGUAUAUCUCCAAAUGCUAUCCCUUGCCCCUCCCCCAGCCCCACAACAGUCCCCGGAGUGUGAUGUUCCCCUUCCUGUGUCCAUGUGUUCUCAUUGUUCAAUUCCCACCUAUGAGUGAGAACAUGAGGUGUUUGGUUUUUGUCCUUGGGAUAGUUUGCUGAGAAUGAUGAUUUCCAGUUUCAUCCAUGCCCUUAAAAAGGACAUGAACUCAUCCUUUUUUAUGGCUGCA
rnacentral:lncRNA from 1 species